rnacentral:lncRNA from 1 species
AUGCAUAGCAACCUUGGAAAAUGAAAAUGAGUGCAUGUUCAGGCCAAUGCAUGUCGUAUGCCCUUUGCGAGGAGUUAAUUGAGGGUCUUCUCUAUCUUACCAAAAAAAAGUGAGUGUCUAUGCAGUGUACAAAUAUUUACUUUCUUCCCUAAUAUAAAUUAUUUGUUUGAACUAAUCUAUUAAUCUAAGAUGUCAUUAGUACCUUGCUGUCAUCUAGAUUCAGACAGGAAGGAAAAGCAGAAAAUAUUUUAUUUGUUAACUUGUUUAUGUCACAUUAGUGGCUGAAAUUCAUGGUUGAAAGUACACUGCCUAUAACAUGCGAGAAUAUGGAAAUUCUUAUUAGCUUGGGAUAAGCUUGCUUCGUUCCUCUGGAUCUUAUGGAGAACCUCUGCCUGUUAACUAUGUACGUGAUAUUUACACUGCAGCCAAGUAGCAGCCAAGUAGUAUGCCAAUGUGGUUAAUUUUCCCUAAAGAUCCUCCUAUAUUUCUCCAGCCAAAUAGACCAAUGAACACGCUAUGCCAAUGUAAGUCAUCCGUAAUUAAUG